UACGUAGGGUGCAAGCGUUGUCCGGAAUUAUUGGGCGUAAAGGGCUCGUAGGCGGUCUGUCACGUCGGGAGUGAAAACUCGGGGCUUAACCCCGAGCCUGCUUUCGAUACGGGCAGACUAGAGGUAUGCAGGGGAGAAUGGAAUUCCUGGUGUAGCGGUGAAAUGCGCAGAUAUCGGGAGGAACACCAAUGGCGAAGGCAGCUCGCUGGGACGGUACUGACGCUGAGACGCGAAAGCGUGGGGAGCAAACAGG
rnacentral:rRNA from 1 species